rnacentral:sRNA from 1 species
GGGCAUGGUGGUGCAUGCCUGCAAUCCCAGCAACUGGGGAAUGAGGCAGGAGGAUUACAAGUUCAAAGGCAGCCUCGGCAACUUAGUGAGACUUUGCCUCAA